rnacentral:rRNA from 1 species
GUCUACGGCCAUGCUACCCUGAACAAGCCUGAUCCCAUCUGAUCUCGGAAGCUAAGCAGGGUUGGGCCUGGUUAAUACUUGGAUGGGAGACCACCUACGAAGACCAGGUGCUGUAGGCA